rnacentral:lncRNA from 1 species
CUCUCCCCGAUUUGGGGCUGAUUUUGGGGUGGAUUUUUCAGGAAUUUUUGGCUCAUUUUUUGGGGAUAAUUUGGGGCUGAUUUUGGGGAUAAUUUCAGGAUGAUUUUGGGUUGAAUUUUUGAUAUUUUGGUCCAUUUCAGUGCCCUGCACGCUGCUGCUCUCCCCGAUUUGGGGCUGAUUUUGGGGUGGAUUUUUCAGGAAUUUUUGGGUUUUUUUGGCUCAUUUUUUGGGGAUAAUUUCAGGAUGAUUUUGGGAUAAUUUCAGGAUGAUUUUGGGUUAAUUCCCGCUGAUUUUGGUGCAUUCCAGUGCCCUGCACGCUGCUGCUCUCCCCGAUUUGGGGCUGAUUUUGGGGUGGAUUUUUCAGGAAUUUUUUGGGUUUUUUUGGCUCAUUUUUUGGGGAUAAUUUCAGGAUUAUUUUGGGAUAAUUUCAGGAUGAUUUUGGGGUUGAAUUUGGGUUGAAUCUGUGAUGUUUUGGUGCAUUCCCAGUGCCCUGCACGCUGCUGCUCUCCCUGAUUUGGGGCUGAUUUUUCAGGAAUUUUUGGGGAAUUUUUGGCUCAUUUUUUGGGGAUAAUUUCAGGAUAAUUUCAGGAUGAUUUUGGGGUUGAUUUUGGGUUGAAUUUGCGAUAUUUUGGUGCAUUCCAGUGCCCUGCAC